rnacentral:rRNA from 1 species
GGGGAAUAUUGCACAAUGGGGGAAACCCUGAUGCAGCGACGCCGCGUGGAGGAAGAAGGUCUUCGGAUUGUAAACUCCUGUCCCAGGGGACGAUAAUGACGGUACCCUGGGAAGGAAGCACCGGCUAACUACGUGCCAGCAGCCGCGGUAAAACGUAGGGUGCAAGCGUUGUCCGGAAUUACUGGGUGUAAAGGGAGCGCAGGCGGAUUGGCAAGUUGGAAGUGAAAUCUAUGGGCUCAACCCAUAAAUUGCUUUCAAAACUGUCAGUCUUGAGUGGUGUAGAGGUAGGCGGAAUUCCCGGUGUAGCGGUGGAAUGCGUAGAUAUCGGGAGGAACCCCAGUGGCGAAGGCGGCCUACUGGGCACCUAACUGACGCUGAGGCUCGAAAGCAUGGGUAGCAAACAGGAUUAGAUACCCUGGUAGUCCAUGCCGUAAACGAUGAUUACUAGGUGUGGGAGGAUUGACCCCUUCCGUGCCGCCGUUAACACAAUAAGUAAUCCUCCUGUA